GAUAUUUCUAACGAGAUUGUUGAUGAGCCGUGGGGUUUCUGCCGCUGAUUCCUGAUUGGGUGGAAUGGUUGCUAUCCCACUGAGGCGCUAAGGACAGACAGCAAACCCACACAUGGUCAGCACAUGGAAGGUAAUCUCAAGUCUUCAACAAAAUGAAAAGCAUCUCCUGCUCACCAAAACGCUGGAUAUGCCGAUAUAUUCAGUGAGAGGACAUAGACUGAGUUACAUACACAAACUUUCGAGGUGGCCAUCAUGCUGAGGAAAGAAUGCUGAAUCGGAGACCUCGGUUGCCCUCCUGGCUCUGCCCUGUGCUGCUUGUG